GUGGCUUACAAUGGUGAGGAACAACGGGAAAGCUACGGCGUGAGGCGGAUGCAGAUCUCUAAAAACUCACCUCAGUUCGGAUCGAAGUCUGCAACCCGACUUCGUGAAGCUGGAAUCGCUAGUAAUCGCGCAUCAGCCAUGGCGCGGUGAAUACGUUCCCGGGCCUUGUACACACCGCCCGUCAAGCCAUGGAAGCUGAAGGUGCCUGAAGUCGGUGACCGAAAGGAGCUGCCUAGGGCAAAUUUGGUGACUGGGGCUAAGUCGUAACAAGGUAACCGUAA
rnacentral:rRNA from 1 species